UACGUAGGCAGCAAGCGUUGUUCGGAGUUACUGGGCGUAAAGGGUGCGUAGGCGGCUUUUUAAGUUUGGUGUGAAAUCUCCCGGCUCAACUGGGAGGGUGCGCCGAAUACUGAGAGGCUAGAGUGUGGGAGAGGAAAGUGGAAUUCCUGGUGUAGCGGUGAAAUGCGUAGAUAUCAGGAGGAACACCUGUGGCGAAAGCGGCGCACUGGACCACAACUGACGCUGAGGCGCGAAAGCUAGGGGAGCAAACAGG
rnacentral:rRNA from 1 species